AGAGAGAGAGAGACAGAGACACAGGCAGACAGAGGCAGAAACCCUGUGAGGAGGUGGACGGACCUAGCCGCCGCACCGGGCUCCCUGUCGCCGGCCCGGGCUCCCUGUCGCCGGCCCGGGCUCCCUGUCGCCGGCCCUGGCCCCACGGCCACCCCAGGCAAAGCAACAGAGACCACGAUUCACAGAUUUUUACACAAAUCUCAAGACCAACAUGCCUUAGGACCGACAAAGAAGAGUAGUCUGCAGCCUCCAGCGUUGCCCACCUGCCCAGCCUGCAGCAUCAAUAGCAGGCAUAAAGCUCUUCCACCUGGCUCAAGGAUAUGUCCCAGCGAUUGUCCCAGAAGGAGAAAAAUGCCCAUUGAACCAAAUACUUCUCUCUUUCUUACAAAAUACGAGCAUCAGAGUGUUUAUCAUAGGACACUGCAUCCAGUGACAGAGAACUCCUUGCAGAAUGAGAAGAUAAGGAGACAGAUUUCCAGGUGACCAGGAUGGUGGCCUUCGAAAGUGCAAGAACAAAGUGGGCAGACAACAGGCAGCUUCCUCCUUCUGAGGCACGAGUGCAUGAAUUGCCUUCCCCCAGCACGAAGCUGAAUUAAAAUAUUCCUAGCAGAUAGUUCGGAUUGAUAAUCACCUCUACUGUGUUACUCUGGACAUGUCCACACAGCUGACUGGGAAAUAGAAG
rnacentral:lncRNA from 1 species